rnacentral:rRNA from 1 species
AUUGAACGCUGGCGGAAUGCUUUACACAUGCAAGUCGGGCGGCAGCACGGGGGCAACCCUGGUGGCGAGCGGCGAACGGGUGAGUAACACAUCGGAACGUACCCUGUCGUGGGGGAUAACGAAUCGAAAGAUUCGCUAAUACCGCAUACGACCCGAGGGUGAAAGCGGGGGAUCGCAAGACCUCGCGCGAUUGGAGCGGCCGAUGGCGGAUUAGCUAGUUGGUGAGGUAAAGGCUCACCAAGGCGACGAUCCGUAGCGGGUCUGAGAGGAUGAUCCGCCACACUGGGACUGAGACACGGCCCAGACUCCUACGGGAGGCAGCAGUGGGGAAUUUUGGACAAUGGGCGCAAGCCUGAUCCAGCCAUGCCGCGUGAGUGAAGAAGGCCUCGGGUUGUAAAGGCUCUUUCGGUCCGGGAAGAAAGUACGUAUGGGCUAAUACCCUGUGCGGAUGACGGUACCGGCGAUAAGAAGGCAACCGGCGUAACUACGUGCCAGCAGCCGCGGUAAU